rnacentral:tRNA from 2 species
CCAGUAGCUCAGUUGGUUAGAGCAUCCGGCUCAUAACCGGACGGUCCGGGGUUCGAGUCCCUGCUGGC